rnacentral:rRNA from 1 species
UACGUAGGGGGCAAGCGUUGUCCGGAUUUAUUGGGCGUAAAGAGCGUGUAGGCGGCCGUACAGGUCAGCUGUGAAACUCGAGGCUCAACCUCGAGACGUCGGUUGAAACCGUACGGCUAGAGUCCGGAAGAGGAGAGUGGAAUCCCGGUGUAGCGGUGAAUGCGCAGAUAUCGGAAGAACACCCGGUGGCGAAGGCGGCUCUCUGGGACGGUACUGACGCUGAGACGCG